GACACACGGGAUAGACCCGGACAAGAAUUUAAACGGGACUGACCCGAACAAAAAUUUAAAACGGGAUAGACCCGAACAGAAAUUUUUAAAAUCGGGAUUGACCCGAGACAGAAAUUUAAAUGGGAUGAAUUGAAGUGAGAUGGAGUAUUGGUGGGGUUGACCCAUGUUUAUUGGUGAUGCAAAUGAAAGAAGCGAAAUGAAGUUUUAAUGGGACUGAUCCACGUUCCAGUGGUUGUGAAAAUGAAAUGUCUCGACAAUCGGACAGUGGGAUCAAACCCGAGCCUGUCGUGAUGAACUUGAUUUGAUUUUUGAUUUGUUGAUUUUUUUUAUUUUAUUUUCUUUUUCUUUUUUUUUUGAUUUUUUUUUAUUUUUUUUUGAUUUUUUUUUUGAUUUUUUUUGAUUUUGAUUUUUUUUUGACUGAGAGAGACUUGACGAAAAAUUAUCCGAAAAUUUGCCCCAGUGUGAAGAAUUGGAUCAGUGGGACUAAACCCAAGCCUGCCCAAUGGGAAGUUGGCGGCACGAAGUCCAGACCCAACGAGAUCUUUGAGAUGUUGGCGGCACCAGGUCCAGGCCCAACUUGAUUUUGGAGAUGUUGGCGGCAUUAAAUCCAGGCCCAACUUGAUCUUUGAAAGGUUGGCGGCAUUAAAUCCAGGCCCAACGGGAUCUUUGAGAUGUUGGCGGCACGAAAUCCAAGCCCAACGUGAUGUUUGAGAUGUUUGGGAGGCAUUAAAUCCAGACCCAACUUGAUCUUUGAAAUGUUGGCGGCAUUAAAUCCAGGUCCAACUUGAUGUUUGUGAGGUUGGCGGCACGAAAUCCAGGCCCAACGUGAUUUUUGGAACGUUGGCGGCACAAAAUCCAGGCCCAACGUGAUGGUGGAAUGUUUGGGAGGUUGGCGGCAUGAAAUCCAGGCCCAACGGGAUUUUUGUGAUGUUGGCGGCAUUAAAUCCAGGCCCAACUUGAUCUUUGUGAUGUUGGCGGCAUUAAAUCCAGGCCCAACUUGAUGUUUGGAAUGUUGGCGGCACAAAGUUCAGGCCCAACGUGAUUUUUGGAAAGUUGGCGGCACCAAGUCCAGGCCCAACGUGAUUUUUGUGAUGUUGGCGGCAUUAAAUCCAGGCCCAACUUGAUGUUUGGAAUGUUGGCGGCACAAAAUCCAGGCCCAACGUGAUUUGGAAUGUUUGUGAAUGGUCAGUGGGAUAAGACC
rnacentral:lncRNA from 1 species